UGGGGAAUAUUGCACAAUGGGCGCAAGCCUGAUGCAGCCAUGCCGCGUGUAUGAAGAAGGUUUUCGGAUCGUAAAACUCUGUUGUUAGAGAAGAACAAGGACGUUAGUAACUGAACGUCCCCUGACGGUAUCUAACCAGAAAGCCACGGCUAACUACGUGCCAGCAGCCGCGGUAAUACGUAGGUGGCAAGCGUUGUCCGGAUUUAUUGGGCGUAAAGCGAGCGCAGGCGGUUUCUUAAGUCUGAUGUGAAAGCCCCCGGCUCAACCGGGGAGGGUCAUUGGAAACUGGGAGACUUGAGUGCAGAAGAGGAGAGUGGAAUUCCAUGUGUAGCGGUGAAAUGCGUAGAUAUAUGGAGGAACACCAGUGGCGAAGGCGGCUCUCUGGUCUGUAACUGACGCUCAGGUGCGAAAGCGUGGGGAGCAAACAGG
rnacentral:rRNA from 1 species